UACGGAGGGGGCUAGCGUCGUUCGGAAUUACUGGGCGUAAAGCGCACGUAGGCGGCUUUGUAAGUUAGAGGUGAAAGCCCGGAGCUCAACUCCGGAAUUGCCUUUAAGACUGCAUCGCUUGAACAUCGGAGAGGUAAGUGGAAUUCCGAGUGUAGAGGUGAAAUUCGUAGAUAUUCGGAAGAACACCAGUGGCGAAGGCGGCUCACUGGUCCGGUACUGACGCUGAGGUGCGAAAGCGUGGGGAGCAAACAGG
rnacentral:rRNA from 1 species